GAUGAACGCUGGCGGCGUGCUUAACACAUGCAAGUCGAACGAGAAGUGAAGACGGAAACCUUCGGGCGGAAGGCUUUAUUUCGAGUGGCGGACGGGUGAGUAACGCGUGGGUAACCUGCCUCAUACAGGGGGAUAACAGUUGGAAACGACUGUUAAUACCGCAUAAGACUACAGCACCGCAUGGUGCGGGGGUAAAAACUCCGGUGGUAUGAGAUGGACCCGCGUUCGAUUAGCCAGUUGGCGGGGUAACGGCCCACCAAAGCGACGAUCGAUAGCCGAUCUGAGAGGAUGACCGGCCACAUUGGGACUGAGACACGGCCCAAACUCCUACGGGAGGCAGCAGUGGGGAAUAUUGCACAAUGGGGGAAACCCUGAUGCAGCGACGCCGCGUGAGUGAAGAAGUAUUUCGGUAUGUAAAGCUCUAUCAGCAGGGAAGAAAAUGACGGUACCUGAGUAAGAAGCCCCGGCUAACUACGUG
rnacentral:rRNA from 1 species